AGCGAACGCUGGCGGCAGGCCUAACACAUGCAAGUCGAACGCCUGUAGCAAUACAGGAGUGGCAGACGGGUGAGUAACACGUGGGAACGUGCCCUUCGGUUCGGAAUAACUCAGGGAAACUUGGGCUAAUACCGGAUACGUCCGCGAGGAGAAAGAUUCAUCGCCGAGAGAUGGGCCCGCGUCGGAUUAGCUAGUUGGUGAGGUAAAGGCUCACCAAGGCGACGAUCCGUAGCUGGUCUGAGAGGAUGAUCAGCCACACUGGGACUGAGACACGGCCCAGACUCCUACGGGAGGCAGCAGUGGGGAAUAUUGGACAAUGGGCGCAAGCCUGAUCCAGCCAUGCCGCGUGAGUGAAGAAGGCCUUAGGGUUGUAAAGCUCUUUCGACGGGGAAGAUAAUGACGGUACCCGUAGAAGAAGCCCCGGCUAACUUCGUGCCAGCAGCCGCAGUAAUAC
rnacentral:rRNA from 1 species